rnacentral:rRNA from 1 species
UACGGGGGGGGCAAGCGUUGUUCGGAAUUACUGGGCGUAAAGGGCUCGUAGGUGGCCAACUAAGUCAGACGUGAAAUCCCUCGGCUUAACCGGGGAACUGCGUCUAAUACUGGAUGGCUGGAGUAUGGGAGAGGGAUGCGGAAUUCCAGGUGUAGCGGUGAAAUGCGUAGAUAUCUGGAGGAACACCGGUGGCGAAGGCGGCAUCCUGGACCGGUAUUGACACUGAAAAGCGAAAGCCAGGGGAGCAAACGGG